AUGCAAUUGGUCAGAUCUGGUAACACGCCGAUCAACAUCAAUGGCGAAGUGGGACCCUUUUUCCAGGCUUCCAGAGGGGUAAAGCAAGGGGACCCUGUCUCCCCCCUGCUUUUUAACCUCGCAGUUGAUGCCCUUGCGGGCAUCCUAGAUAAGGCCAAGUUAGCCGGCCACCUUAAGGGUGUAGUUAGUCACCUCAUCCCGGAUGGGGGGGGGGGUUACUCACUUGCAGUAUGCGGAUGA
rnacentral:rRNA from 1 species